UCCUACGGGAGGCAGCAGUGGGGAAUAUUGGACAAUGGGUGCAAGCCUGAUCCAGCCAUGCCGCGUGAGUGAUGAAGGCCUUAGGGUUGUAAAGCUCUUUUGUCGGGGACGAUAAUGACGGUACCCGAAGAAUAAGCUCCGGCUAACUUCGUGCCAGCAGCCGCGGUAAUACGAAGGGAGCUAGCGUUGUUCGGAAUCACUGGGCGUAAAGCGCACGUAGGCGGAUUUGUUAGUCAGGGGUGAAAUCCCGGGGCUAAACCUCGGAACUGCCUUUGAUACUGCAAAUCUCGAGUCCGAUAGAGGUGGGUGGAAUUCCUAGUGUAGAGGUGAAAUUCGUAGAUAUUAGGAAGAACACCGGUGGCGAAGGCGGCCACUGGAUCGGUACUGACGCUGAGGUGCGAAAGCGUGGGGAGCAAACAGGAUUAGAUACCCCUGUAGUC
rnacentral:rRNA from 1 species